rnacentral:lncRNA from 10 species
CCACCGCCUUCUUCUCCGCCUCCAACUCCUCCCCCGCCGAACGCGAAGCGGCUGGCGGCUGUGGCGGCGGCGGCGGCGGUGGCGGCGGCGGAAGCAGAGGCGGUGGCGGUGAGUCCCGCCCCUUGCGCCGCGGUGGAGGCGAAGGAGGAGAGUACGCAAGCCCCUCCCCCAUAGCAGAGAUGACCAGUCAGCUUACAGGGUCUCUGCUGGGGGACAAUGCAUACGCCCAAUCAGAACCUGAGGAGUGGGCUCACGUCAAUGGUUGGGACGUGGCAGAAAAAGGGAAAAAUACUUGGACCUUCUCUACAGCCUGCUCCCCCAUCUCCCUCAGGGGGAGUUCACCAAUUGGCUGAAGAGCGGAAAGACGAAGCCGACUCAGUCCCCCGCCCCAGCCGAGCCCACCUCCUUUCCCUGCAGUACUGCGACGUUUGGGGAGGGGGCGGAGCACCGUGUAGGAGCUAAAACUGCGCGGCCUUUUGUGGUUUGGGCUGAGAGAAAAGGGCGGGGUCUCGGAAAGGGAAGGGGGUGUGGAGAACUAACAGAAAGACUGGCGCAGUUAGGCUUUUUCGGAAAUUCCAACAGCAACAACCAAAAUGGAGGCAUUAAAAUCGAUCCUGAUUCGACUGGAAACCUGAUUAACAAGGUUAAGGUCUCCUGGCAUAAAGUUCAGUUACAAUGCAGAUAUCGGUGAGACAAAAAAAAAAAAUGACACGAAGAA